rnacentral:rRNA from 1 species
AUGAAGAUACCUCUAAAGAAUACAAUCUUUGCAUGGUAUCUUCGUCGCCGAGUCAUUCUUACUAAAGAUAACCUUAUUAAGAGAAAUUGGCAUGGAAGCCCGCAAUGUGUCUUUUAUCACCAUGAUGAGACAAUAAAAUAUUUAUUCUUCCAAUGCAAAUUGGCUCGUUCUAUAUGGCCAGUCAUCCAGAUAGCUUCUGGUUUGUAUCCUCCUUGUAGUGUUGCUAAUGUAUUUGGCAACUGGUUACAUGGGAUAGAUUACAUGUUUAGAACUAUUCUUAGGGUGGGAGCGCUUGCCGUUAUUUGGUCGCUUUGACUAUGUAGAAAUGAUAAGGUGUUUAAUGAUAAAAGUACUUCUCUGAUGCAGGUUAUAUACAGGUGUACCGGGACUCUUCGUUUAUGGUCCUUUCUACAACGUGUGGAGAAUCGAGGCCUGUUUACGGAGGUGUGUACACGAUUGGAGGAUACGGCGAUGGAUACUUUUACCCAACAUGGGUGGCAGCAUGAUCUUAGAAUUGGCCCACCUCUGCUUUAG